CACACACACACACACACACACGCAGGUACAGACAUGUAGCACACUCAGCUGUAGUGUAUAAAAGACCAUCCCUGGCUGUAGGGAGAAGCAGACAGACAGAGAGGAGGGAGAGACAGACUUCAUCACUGACUCCAGAUCUGAGGAGAAACUCAUCUGAAGAACCUCUCACACCAAUGUAAAGAGGUGACUGUGAUUUCCUCAGACCAAUUGGCAGAACAGCCCAGUUCCGGCAUCACAAACAGGAUGAUUGAUUCUGCACAUCCUAUGGGAAGGCGUGAGGGAAUUUCUCAUCUGAUGAAAAGACGACUGGGACCCGCCCAGACCAUAGGAGACAUAUCAUAAGUGAACAAUAGAGGGACAUAUCUACUGACUUUUCAAACAGGUUGUCCCUGGAAGGAACGGAGGAAGACAUUGUAGAGAAUUUAGUCCCCCUUAACAGUGUUCUUAAGACUCGUUUCCCACGGGUGAAGGCGUCUUUGUCGAACCUAGCAGGUGGAGCCGAACACUGUUUGAACCCAGGUCAUUCCGUGGUGGUCAAAGACUUUUAGGAGAAAGAGUUGGAACGACGCCCGUCGAUAUCAAGUUCUUCAAGACCACCCCCCCCCACUGCGGUGAAGGUUGCUGAGAGAGAUACCUGGAUCCACGCGUCGCACUGCAGACGAGUUCCUGAUCCAGGAGAAGAUGAGGCCUCGCCAGUCCCGGCGGUGCCGUGUGGCCCUCCUCUGCUUUAGCACAGGAAUGCUAAUAGGAACAGUAGGCUGUCUUCUUGUAGGAAACCCGACAGAGGGUCAAAUGAGUCCUGAGCCAAAGGGGCAAACACAGGCCUGGAGUAGUGGCCCAGAAGUAGAUGGUCACCGUAGAAGGAGAGCCCUGCUUGGCCCUCACAACCAUGAGGACAAUUUGUUCUUAUCUAGAGCACAAAUGGUUGCCAACCUGACAUCCAAAGGAAAGGACUGUUGGGUGUGUGGGUUGAGUCCGGUGAA